rnacentral:rRNA from 1 species
AGUGAACGCUGGCGGUAGGCCUAACACAUGCAAGUCGAACGGCAGCACAGUAAGCGCUUGCUCUUACGGGUGGCGAGUGGCGGACGGGUGAGGAAUACAUCGGAAUCUACUUUUUCGUGGGGGAUAACGUAGGGAAACUUACGCUAAUACCGCAUACGACCUACGGGUGGAAGCAGGGGAGCUUCGGACCUUGCGCGAUUGAAUGAGCCGAUGCCGGAUUAGCUAGUUGGCGGGGUAAAGGCCCACCAAGGCGACGAUCCGUAGCUGGUCUGAGAGGAUGAUCAGCCACACUGGAACUGAGACACGGUCCAGACUCCUACGGGAGGCAGCAGUGGGGAAUAUUGGACAAUGGGCGCAAGCCUGAUCCAGCCAUACCGCGUGGGUGAAGAAGGCCUUCGGGUUGUAAAGCCCUUUUGUUGGGAAAGAAAAGCAGCAGGUUAAUACCCCGCUGUUCUGACGGUACCCAAAGAAUAAGCACCGGCUAACUUCGUG